GUGCUCACUUCAGCAGCACAUAUACUAAAAUUAUAAUGAUACAGAGAAGGUUAGCAUGGCCCAAACACAAGGAUGACAUACAAAUUCAUGAGUGUUUCAUUUUUUUU